rnacentral:rRNA from 1 species
CCCUUAGAGUUUGAUCCUGGCUCAGAUUGAACGCUGGCGGCAUGCCUUACACAUGCAAGUCGAACGGUAACAGGGAGCUUGCUCCGCUGACGAGUGGCGAACGGGUGAGUAAUACAUCGGAACGUGCCCAGUAAUGGGGGAUAGCUCGGCGAAAGCCGGAUUAAUACCGCAUACGCCCUGAGGGGGAAAGUGGGGGACCGCAAGGCCUCACGUUAUUGGAGCGGCCGAUGGCUGAUUAGCUAGUUGGUAGGGUAAAGGCCUACCAAGGCGACGAUCAGUAGCUGGUCUGAGAGGACGAUCAGCCACACUGGGACUGAGACACGGCCCAGACUCCUACGGGAGGCAGCAGUGGGGAAUUUUGGACAAUGGGGGAAACCCUGAUCCAGCAAUGCCGCGUGUGCGAAGAAGGCCUUCGGGUUGUAAAGCACUUUUGUCAGGGAAGAAAUCCUUUGGGCUAAUACCCUAGGGGGAUGACGGUACCUGAAGAAUAAGCACCGGCUAACUACGUGCCAGCAGCCGCGGUAAUACGUAGGGUGCAAGCGUUAAUCGGAAUUACUGGGCGUAAAGCGUGCGCAGGCGGUUGUGUAAGACAGGUGUGAAAUCCCCGGGCUUAACCUGGGAAUUGCAUUUGUGACUGCACGACUAGAGUGUGUCAGAGGGGGGUGGAAUUCCACGUGUAGCAGUGAAAUGCGUAGAUAUGUGGAGGAACACCAAUGGCGAAGGCAGCCCCCUGGGAUAACACUGACGCUCAUGCACGAAAGCG